CCGAGUUAGGGUCCUCUCACGGCCCGACCUCCCAACCCCUUGUUUAAUUAUACCAUUUGUUGCUUCGGCGGGACGGUCUUCCCAGACCGCCGGAGGGUGCGCACCGCCCCUCUGGAGAGUUUGCCCGCCGACGGCCCCCCUUCAAAAAUCUUGAACCCAACCGUGACGCCUAAAGUGAUUAUUGUAUAAUGUACAAAAAUA
rnacentral:misc_RNA from 1 species